rnacentral:misc_RNA from 1 species
AAGUCGUAACAAGGUUUCCGUAGGUGAACCUGCGGAAGGAUCAUUAAAUAAUCAAUAAUUUUGGCUUGUCCAUCAUUAUCUAUUUACUGUGAAACGUAUUAUUACUUGACGCCUGAGGGAUGUUCCACUGCUAUAAGGAUAGGCAGCGGAAAUGUUAACCGAGUCAUAAUCAAGCUUAGGCUUGGUAUCCUAUUAUUAUUUACCAAAAGAAUUCAGAAUUAAUAUUGUAACAUAGACGUAAAAAAUCUAUAAAACAACUUUUAACAACGGAUCUCUUGGUUCUC